UUAUGUAGGGUCAGUAGGUUGUCAUGUGUGCUGCUUUAGUCUAAAACCAUAAGAUGGCGUAAAAAACCCACGAAAUAUUGAUAAAGGAGAAAAUAUAUCUAGGAUAUACGUAUUAUACUUUUAUUAUGGUUAGAUCACAAUUUGUUUCUUUUCUUUCAGUACCCAGAAUACACAACUAAGAACAUAUGCUCGUGUAAAACCGAAAAUCCGCCUAGAGGCCACCUACAAUGCUCCUAGUACUAGCACAAUGACAGCUGAACCUGUGGUUGAACCUGUAGAGAUUAAUUGGCCGCAACCUGAUCCGGAAAUUGAUUCAUUUCAAUUGAUUGUGGAACCUUGUCAAAAUAAAUGUUUAUCUGGAAUAUCUGGGUAUCGCAUUGUGGACUUGAAGCAUGUAAUACAGUGGGCAUUUCUUAUGGAAAGACAUCGAAAUAUGUGUGAAUCUUCACAAAUUGAAUUUGUUAGUGAAAGGCUUGAUGGAUUUAGAAGUGAAUUGAUUUUCAAGUGCAGUAUGUGUGAUAAAGUGUGGAGGCAUUUUACGGAGAGCAGUGAUAAAAUAAAUACUGCAUUUGUGUGGGCAACUGUCAUAGACCUUUGACUGUAAUAGAAGUUUGUCGAGAUAAUGAAUUUAUCAGUAAUAUGAUGCCCAAAUUAUCUGAAUUUUUUAAAAACUGUAUUCUGCCUGAAAUAAUAUUGAGACGUGUUCAAAAAAAUGCGAAAUGUAUAGAUUUGAAUGUUAUUAUUCCAGUGAAAAAUGCUCCUGCAACAUCAAUUGAAAAUUCAAGCAAAGAAUAGAAGGCGAUUUUUAUUUUAGAGCAAAUUUGGAGAUUGAUGCACCAGUGCAGCAGUGGUUUCAAGACAGGAAGUUUCAAGGCAGAGAGUGAAAUCAACAAGUCAAAUGAUUUUUGUUCUAAUUGUAUUUUGGUUGUAGUUUGUUUAGAAUCUACAUAACCACUGUAUAUUUCUUUUUAUUUUGUAUUUACUGUAAAACCAAAAGGUGAAAAAUAUUUCAUUAGGCAUACAUGCUUACAUCAUUAUGUUACUAUGUUUUACAAAGCUUUAGAGUGCGUCGAAAUCGGAAAUAUGUUUUCACCUUCCUGUUUAUUAUCACAUAAUAAAUAGUGUUUUAGAUUUGUUGUUGUAUCUUGUUUAUGAGUGUUGGUUAUGAAAUGUUACUGAAAUAAUUUACUUAUCAUUAGUGUUAUUAGUUUUGAGUGAAUAGGCAUAGAUCGGUAUAUUAUAUGCUUCUUCAAAUACAUGUUUUGAUAAAAAAAAACAAAAUUAUAAUGUAAUAAAAUAAAACUGCGUUUUAUUGUAAUCAA